rnacentral:rRNA from 1 species
UACGAAGGGGGCUAGCGUUGCUCGGAAUCACUGGGCGUAAAGCGCACGUAGGCGGAUUGCUAAGUUAGGGGUGAAAUCCUGGAGCUCAACUCCAGAACUGCCUUUGAUACUGGCGAUCUUGAGUCCGGGAGAGGUGAGUGGAACUGCGAGUGUAGAGGUGAAAUUCGUAGAUAUUCGCAAGAACACCAGUGGCGGAAGGCGGCUCACUGGCCCGGUACUGACGCUGAGGUGGCGAAAGCGUGGGGAGCAACAGG